rnacentral:misc_RNA from 1 species
AAUUUUUCUUUUUAUUUUUUUAUCUUAUUUUUGUAAUAUUUAUCCUCACUUUUUCAUAUUUUAAAAUUAUAAUAUUAAUGAGGUCAUGCUUGCAUCACCAUGAUGAUGUCAUAAGUCUUUUUAAUUUAAUUUUCUUUUCCUUUUGUUUUUCCCAUACUUCUUUAAUUUAAUUCCAUAUUUCAAAAUUUUCAUUUCUCAGAUUUUAUUGGACAAUUAGGUUAUAAGUCACCUCUAGGAGUGAAUUGA